rnacentral:lncRNA from 1 species
CCCCUCGCACAUGCUCAGUAAUCGCGCCGGGCUCUCCGGCCAGCCCCACCCCCGCCGCCGCCGCCGCCGCCGCCGCCGCCGCCGCCGCCGCCCCUCCGCCUGCCUCGGGGCUGCCGGUGCCGGGCGGCGCCGAAGCCGCCCCGAGUCCGCGGCUCCGGAUUUUCCCAAGAGCACGAGGAAGAGCCUGGCCCGUGCGGGGGAUGCUGUCAGUGGCCGCGUUCUUCGUCUUCUUCAGGCAGACAUGGCGGAUCUAUAUCUGGAGCUGAAGGCAGUAAGAAGAGAGAGAGACACUGGACCUGGCUUUAGCUUCGGAAACCUCAAAGCCCAUGCCCUGCGACACACUUCCUCCUACAAGGCCACUCCCUAUGACCUAUGGGGGCUGUUUUCAUUCAAACCAUCACACUGGGUAUGGUGUUAUUCAUUGAAACAUGGGUUUCUUACGAAAGCUCACACCACUGAAGAAAAGUGAUCCCUUCUCUCAUAGCAGCCCUUACCAGCUGCUAAUGGUUUCUCAACGAAGGGUAGAGCCUUAUGAGCCCUUCCCCCAUCUUUGCUGAAACGUCCGUGGGCUCCAUCUUGUACAGGUCUUGUGCAGUCACAUAAGCAUCGAAUUUUCUCCUACCAAUAUUCCAUUCUGAACAAGAAGACUUACCACAUAUCAGAGACACAGAUGUGUCUGGCAACUUGAAUAUGGCACAAAGCAAAGAAGAAAGAAACAGUCUCCUUUUUUGGAUGGCACAGCAUGACUUCAGCACAUUGAAGCUUCUCCGAAGCUCUUCAGCUGCUGAACUGUGGGCAUCCUAAAGGCUGUUUCUUACAAGUCAAAGCCUCUGUUCUUGGUCCUGUGCGGGGAGUACAAACAAAACAGAUUUGAUUCUGUGGACUCCCAAGGAGAACUGGGAAGCCUUUGAGAGAACCUGGAGAACCCGAACAUUGUAACUUGGGGGCAAAAGGGGUACAAACAAAGCAGAAAUAUGGAUUUUUUACUAUCAAUGUACCUUAGUCCUAUUUAUUGCAUGGGUGUCAUAUUGUGAAAUAUGGACAACAUAUUCUGAUUAGAUAGAUUAAAAUACUGUGUUUUGAAUAUAGUUUAUAGAGAUACAAAAACAUUCAGUUACUCAACCCAUCUUUAGAAAUAUUGUAUCCCUGUUUUGCACAAUUCUUUUUCUACUACUCUUAGAUAUUUGUGUGUGUGUGUGUGUGUGUGUGUGUGUGUGUGUGUGUGUGUGUGUGUGUGUGUGUGUGUGUUUAUAUCUGUGCAUGAAAAAGUGUGUAAAAAGGCAUGUGUAGGCCAGAGGUCAAUGCUGGGUGUCUUCUUCAAUUACUCUCCACUUUAUUUGUUAAGGCAGGGCCUUCCAUUGAACCUGAAACUCACUGAUUCAGCUAGACUCGAUGGCCAGAGAUCUCCAGGGAUCCUCCUUUCUCUACUUUGCAGUUCAGGUUACAGGCAUGCACCCCAACAUCCGUUGUUUUUCCUAGUGCUUAAGAUCCAAACUCCAGUCUUCAUAACUGGUCAAGCACUUACUAACUGUGCCAUCUCCUCAGCACCUUGGUUAUUUUUUAAGUGAUGAAAAUUUUUCUGUGAUUUUACAUGCUACUUCUAAAGCUCCUGAAAGACUGCAAAUUAUAAAGCACACAGAGGGAUAAAAUUUAGAAAAAGCUUUGUCUACUUUUCAGCUUUUGUUGUUGUAUAAUGAAUGGUUAUUUAUUGCUUUGCUUUACUCACUUGGUUUUGACAAUUAAAACAUGACUACUGACAUGUCAAACGUUAAACCAAGGAGUUUAAUGCCAAAGUCUCCUAUGGAGAAGAAGGGACUUGUGAAUGUUGUAUCUAUCUCUUUGUGUCUAGGUGAGAUCUAAACUGACAUACAUCUUGGUGGCAGUGCUCCAAGCAUGUGUCACCUAAAUCAGCCCAUACUUCCCAGUGAUUAUUCUCAUGAUGGCAUCUACUGCUUAGAGUCUGUCCUUAUUAAGGUGUGUGUGUGUGUGUGUCAACUUGAGAUGUUAGGAUUGCCUAUAGAAUAAAUGAGCUUUCAUAUUCUUUGAGAACACAAAUAUUCC